GCCUUCUGCAACCUUCCCGUUUUGAACAGAGAUAAUUCCCAGAGAUUUAUACUCCAAUUUUCAUGGCUCAUCAGGAGCUAGCCACCACUUCAGACUAUAUGUAGCCUACUGCGCACCAAGUAGAAGCAGCUGCGCUCACGAAUUGGAAGUGCAGGGAUAACAUUCCAACAGAGCACAUGCCUAGUCACCCAACUUCCAGCAGGGGUAAUCCUGGUCCACCCCAGGAGAGCAACCCAGACCCUGUAGGAAUGUGGGUUGAAAAACAUAGGCAGUGUCCACUGCAAUGCACUAAAUAUGGCAGAGGCUGCAUGCUUCCCUACUUUAAAGAGCCGAUAUGCUCAAUCUCGGAUUAGAGUUGGACCAACUGGCAGUUUGUCAGAAGCUGCAAUGUACAAGACGAAAUGCCAGGCUACAGUCCACAAAACCAGCCAGCACCACGUACACAGCAGUUGUCUGGGCUACAUGCAGAAUGCCCAAAUGUGGUGGAGCAGCUCACCCAAACGCACUGUACCUCAACAAUUGGUACCGCCGCUAAUCGUCAUUUGAAGCUCCUGGGUGGCAACAAUGACCAUAGUACACCUCAGCCCCAACACAUGCAAUAUAAAUCAAAGUUACAUGAGCACUACAAAGUUUGUUUCACCCCAGUGGCCAGUAGGUGUUAGCCCACCUGCCACACCAAGUUGUAAUGGCCAUUAGAGUGAACCCCAAAAAAACCUCCAUUUGUAGAAAUAUGCUUUAUUGUAUGUAUUUGGGCUGUGUACUAUGGUUCUUGCUGCCACCCAGGAGUAAUAGGAGUCUGAGCACAGGACUUUGUGUACUUGCUUUUGUAUCAACAUGGCAGUUGAUGCCUUGGUUCAAUCACAAAUUCAGGUAUUAUUCCAAGCACAUCAGAACUCUGGCCAUUGCCAUUUUAGUCACUUCACGAUAUCAUUGUCAAUAUGAUAGUCUAUCAAUACCUGUCAUCCACCUACACUUUAGCUCAUGCCCACCUACAGAAUCAAUCUUAUUUUCCAAUCUACAAUGGUGCCCGGUCAACAUACUAGACCAGCUUAGCCAAUACUCACAGGACUACACAUAAUCCUUUCACAUCAGGAUUCUAUUCCUUAACUUUGAUAUAACCCCCUUAACAUUUUUAGAAUAGGCACUACUUCUGCAGCUUCAAGUAAAUAUCCCAGUACACAUCAAGACAAACAUAGGAAUGCAUCUGCAUACACCAGACCCCUCCCAAGAAAGGCGUUUGAGGCAGGCAUGUAAAGAAUUGGUUAUUUCAUAAGAGUUAAUCCCUUUGCAGGCCUACCCAAACAUUAGUUUUGUCACACCAUUACUUGGCUUUAAUAUCCCCAACCAGGAAGACUGAGCCUGAAAUUGUGGGAAGGUGUUACCUAGCCUACACACCCAGACAUAGGACCAAUAUGUAUGCACCAGGAACACAUUAAGACACAAGUAUAGCUCCAGAUGCUAUACAUGAGUGUCAAUAUGUACACACCAGAGAAAGGCAAACACCAGACACUGCACACAGGAUUCAGGGUACUGAGUAUUUCCUUUCAUGCAAGACUUCUGCCUGCUUUAAUAAAGUUCUAUUACUUUAUUGAAAUUAUAUUACCCCUUAAAGGACCACUAUGCCAGGAAAAUGUUUUCCUGGCACUAUAGUGUCCUGAGGGUGCCCCCACCCGCCUGGCUCUGGAGAGGAAAGGGUUAACACUUUCCAGCACCGGGUGGAGAACUCUCCUCCCUUUCGGCUGAAUGCGCAUGCGUGGCAAGGGCUGUGCACGCAUUCAGCCGUCUCAUAGGAAAGCAUUUACAAUGCAUUCCUACGGACGCUUGUGUGUUCACUGAUUUUCACAGUGAGAAUCAUGCAAGUGCCUCUAGCAGCUGUCAAUGAGACAGCCACUAGAGGAUUUGGAGGCUGGAUUAACCCUAUUAACAGUUUCUCUAAAACUGCUAUGUUUAUAAA